AUUCCGUUUUGGCUUCUGCAAAGUGGAUUCAAGAAGAGCAAAACAACAUCUAUGGAAACGAUGCCCUCCUUGUUCGUUCCGAAAAUAUUUUGACUUACGAUAUAUGGUAAAAGGAUUGAGGAGGAAGUGAUCACAAAUGAAUGAAUAGCAGUAGGAUAAUAUUGGAGUUAUGGUGGUGGAAGAUCAAAAGGAGUUGUGAUAAUGCAUGCUGUUGAAAAUGCUGGUGACAACUGAUAGUAUUAUAGGUGUCUUGGACAAUAUUUUGUGAGAUACAUCUUUGUA